AUCCCCCGAAACUAAGCGAGCUACUCUAAAACAGCCCACAGAGCCAACCCAUCCCUGUUACAAAAGGGCGGGAAGAUUUUAAAGUAGAGGUGACACACCAAUCGAGCCUAGAGAUAGCUGGUUAUUCAAAAGACGGAUCUAAGUCCAUCUUUAAGCUUCUAUUAGUGACACAAACAACCCACAAACUUAAAAGCCAUUCAAAUAAGGUACAGCCUAUUUGAACAAGGAGACAACCUAUAACACAGGGUAAUGACCACUACACAUGACUAAGUAGGCCUAAAAGCAGCCAACUUCUUAAAAGCGUCCAAGCUUUAUCACCCACACCACUAAUCCCCCCAUUCACCCACAACCCACAACCAACACUGAAUGACCCCAUAUCUGUAUGGAAGACAUUAUGCUAGAACUAGUAACAAGAAGACAAACUUCUCCAAAAUGCAAACAUAAGCCAAAAUGAACUCCCCGCCGGCACUUACCGCUACUACAAAGUACCAACUACACAAGAAAAUUCUACUACGCCCAGCGUCAACCUUACACCAGA
rnacentral:rRNA from 1 species